UUUUUUUCGGACGCUGCCGACGUGCCCCUGCGUGGUCUCCUUGGUGAUAUGGUAGCUUGCUCCCUGUAGUUAGCGGCGGAUGGGUGAGUGUACGUGGGUAACCUGCCUGUAUCACUGGGAUAUGUCCGGGAAACCGGUGCUAAUACCGGAUGCUUGUUUGAACCUGAUGGUUCAAACAUAAAAGGUGGCUUCUGCUACCACUUACAGAUGGACCCGCGGCGCAUUAGCUAGUUGGUGAGGUAAUGGCUCACCAAGGCGACGAUGCGUAGCCGACCUGAGAGGGUGAUCGGCCACACUGGGACUGAGACACGGCCCAGACUCCUACGGGAGGCAGCAGUAGGGAAUCUUCCGCAAUGGACGAAAGUCUGACGGAGCAACGCCGCGUGAGUGAUGAAGGUUUUCGGAUCGUAAAGCUCUGUUGUUAGGGAAGAACAAGUACCGUUCGAAUAGGGCGGUACCUUGACGGUACCUAACCAGAAAGCCACGGCUAACUACGUGCCAGCAGCCGCGGUAAUACGUAGGUGGCAAGCGUUGUCCGGAAUUAUUGGGCGUAAAGGGCUCGCAGGCGGUUUCUUAAGUCUGAUGUGAAAGCCCCCGGCUCAACCGGGGAGGGUCAUUGGAAACUGGGGAACUUGAGUGCAAAAGAGGAGAGUGAAUUCCACGUGUAGCGGUGAAAUGCUAAGAUGUGAUUAACCCCUGUGCGGAGGUUACUCUCUGUCUUUCUGACCCUAGACCAAACUGGAACCACAGGAUUAAAACCGGUAAUCACCCCAUA
rnacentral:rRNA from 1 species